ACUUUACAAAUUAGUCCUAUUUCACAUCUAACCUUAAAAUCUAUCACAAUAAUACCUUAAACUUCAACCAUUCAAAUAAGGUAACAUAGUCAAAUUUGAAAAAGAAAAAAAAUUACAACAUAGGUCAGCUAGCUUGUAGUAUCGGGAUUCCAAAAACGUAAAAAUUACAAAAAAAAAACAAAAUUGCACUAACCAAUUUUG
rnacentral:lncRNA from 1 species